GGGGAAUAUUGCGCAAUGGGGGGAACCCUGACGCAGCGACGCCGCGUGAAGGAAGAAGGUCUUCGGAUCGUAAACUUCUUUGACUGGGGAAGAAGAAGUGACGGUACCCAGAGAACAAGCCACGGCUAACUACGUGCCAGCAGCCGCGGUAAUACGUAGGUGGCGAGCGUUGUCCGGAAUUACUGGGUGUAAAGGGCGUGUAGGCGGGGGUGCAAGUCAGAUGUGAAAACCCAAGGCUCAACUUUGGGAUUGCAUCUGAAACUGUGCUUCUUGAGUACUGGAGAGGGAAGCGGAAUUCCUAGUGUAGCGGUGAAAUGCGUAGAGAUUAGGAGGAACACCAGUGGCGAAGGCGGCUUCCUGGACAGAGACUGACGCUGAGGCGCGAAAGCGUGGGUAGCGAAC
rnacentral:rRNA from 1 species